GUGUUCGAUUUGACAGCACAUGGACUAACAUGGGAAUGAUGCAGAGAAGAUUAGCAUGGUCCCUGCACAAGGAUGGUGCGCAAAUUCGUCUAGCGUUCCAUAUUUUA